rnacentral:tRNA from 1 species
GGCGGAUGUAGCCANGUGGAUCAGGNCAGUGGAUUGUGAAU